UUCUUCUUCCUCCUUUUCAUUCAUUCAUUCUCUCUCUGCCUAACAUGCAUCCCCGACCGCCGUAUCUCAUCCAUCGAUCAGAGCUACUUUUGUCCGCAAGCAGAGAGAACCUUGAGCAUUGACCCGUCCGACCGUGACCAACAGAAGCAAUCGACCAUGACCAGCAACGACACCCUUCUUGGGAGAACCCUUCUAACAAUUUUUGUGGUCUACUAUGUCUUGACCAAAUGCUCCAACCACAAAUGCUUUCAAGUAGUCAUUGUAAAGUGGUUUGAUUGGAGAGCAUAACAAAUGAUGUUAGAGAAGAUUAUGGGAAGUUGGGCUUAUAGAGCUUGGAAAGCUUAUCAUGUAGCAUAUAUAAUAUACAUUUGGUAUGUUUGGAUGAGAUUUGUACUUGUUCCUCAAGUCUAACUCAACUAAUAUUUAUAAAAUGCAACACUAUUGGUAGGGUGCUCCCUUUAUAUAAUAUACAUGCAGAUAUAGAGUGAGUGAGGGAGAUAGCUAAGAAUCAUGGGUAGAAGUUUCAUGUUGAUGGGGAUGCAACAAUUAGAUAAUUUCAUAAAGGAAUUCAUAGCAGCCAAUCUGUACUUUGGAAAGACUAUUUUGGUGACGUGGGUGAUGAAUGCAAGGGCAAGAAGAAGAAAUAUAUGGUGUUUGGCAAUAGAUUUAGUGUUUAUUUUGUUUGUGAUUUUAUUAGAGUAAAGGUUUUUAUUUUGUGUUUAAUUAUUUACUUUAUAAAUCUAAUUAUAAUUUUUUUUAUGGUCAAGAUGAUUAUGUUUAUAGACUAGGCUAUAUAAUCUUUGAGUUAAGAUAAUUGUGUUCUCUACAUAUCUAUACAGGAAAUAAUUGAUUAAAAUUUUCAUAUUUGAGAUUUUGGUUGUGAUGAAUAAUAUUUUGG